CCAAAGGCUCUUUUCAGAGCCACCCACAGUCUCCAAAAAGAGCUUG
rfam:Ficedula albicollis isolate OC2 chromosome 1A, whole genome shotgun sequence.